rnacentral:tRNA from 1 species
GUCCCCUUCGUCUAGUGGUAAGGACAUCGCCCUUUCACGGCGGUAACAGGGGUUCGAGCCCCCUAGGGGACA